rnacentral:rRNA from 1 species
UACGAAGGGGGCUAGCGUUGCUCGGAAUUACUGGGCGUAAAGGGCGCGUAGGCGGACAGUUUAGUCGGGGGUGAAAGCCCGGGGCUCAACCUCGGAAUUGCAUUCGAUACUGGCGUGCUUGAGGACUGGAGAGGAGACUGGAAUUCAUGGUGUAGCAGUGAAAUGCGUAGAGAUCAUGAGGAAGACCAGUGGCGAAGGCGGGUCUCUGGACAGUUCCUGACACUGAGGUGCGAAAGCGUGGGGAGCAAACAGG